UACGUAGGGUGCAAGCGUUGUCCGGAAUUAUUGGGCGUAAAGAGCUCGUAGGCGGUCUGUCGCGUCGGCUGUGAAAACCCGAGGCUCAACCUCGGGCCUGCAGUCGAUACGGGCAAACUAGAGUACUGCAGGGGAGACUGGAAUUCCUGGUGUAGCGGUGAAAUGCGCAGAUAUCGGGAGGAACACCGGUGGCGAAGGCGGUUCUCUGGGCCUUACCUGACGCUGAGGAGCGAAAGUGUGGGGAGCGAACAGG
rnacentral:rRNA from 1 species